UCUUCUUGUGUAGACUUGUGGAGUCGAAGGGGUUUUGCAGAUAAUCAUUUGGGAACGAAAACUCUCGAUGGUUGGCAUAACUGAGGAGGUGAGAGAUCUUCCGAGGGGUUGCUAUUGUGAGAGGGAGACACUUAAGUCUUCCUAAGUGUGCUUAAUGAGUUUGUUGUAGCUUUCAUGGUGGAUGGGGUAUUCAUGGCGUCUUCAGGUUGAGUGCCCUUUUUACAUCAGCUUUCCUUGAGGUUAGAAGGCGAUAUUGUGAGUAGAUGAUUGGAGGUCGAAUUGUAUGAAGUAAGGUCGAUUUGAAGGUCUGAUAACAAACUCGACUUUAGCUUAUACACCCACAAUUUUGUUGAUCUUUCAUCAUUGAAGCAUCAAAAGCCAAGUUUGAGGACAGCAAUUGCAUUAGAAGCAAAGGCGAUUUCUUUUGUGUCAAUUUUAGAAGGUUCGUGGAGGGAUCGGCCUCAUCAGUCUGAAAUCAGAAUCGAACCUGAACACUGUGAACCAUCGAUUUGGCUCAUAUCUCCAUGAUUUGGCAUCAAUACACACCAUCAAGGAAAGCGCUUCACUCAAGGGAUAAGGACGGUCAUUUAGGAGGAGGUUUGGACUACAUACUGCUGAUCGUCAUCAAAUAUCAGACCUUCCAUUUGCAGCAGCAGGGGCGAAUUAUGAAGAGGAUCGAACUGGCACAUUGGAGGCUCUUUUACAUAUGAUAUUGCUUGCUUCUUCACAGUGCUUUGUCCCAGUGAUGAUGAUAAAGCUAGCGUGUUCAACUGUCCUGGGGAUGGCCUCACAUUCGAUGGAAUUACAGAAACUUACCAGGUGAUGUAAAAAAAAUUUAUGGACGUUUUUCUUACUUUAUGGUCGGAAUGAAAAUUAGAGAGUAGUGUGAAUAGGUAAGUAGCAGACAAAGAAGACUGAAUAGAUGAAGAGAGAGGUUUUGGAAACUACUUCUGUGUUUUGAACUACUUCUGUGUUUUGGUUGUUGCUUAUUUUUGUUGCACACAUUGGAUGAAAUUAUAGAAAUUGACAAGGUAAUGAGAGAGUUUCCAGAACAAUUAAACUAGUUUCUAAUUUCUGUGUUUUAGUUUUUUUGUGGUUGUUUAUUUUUUGUUUGGAUUUAAGGACAGGAUAAAUAUGUAUCACUUUUUGAUGUGAAUGAGGUAUAAAAUUGUUAUUGAUUGUGAUUAUUGAAAGGAUGAUGUUUAAGCAGACUAGGAAAGAAUUUGCCUUGGGUUAAACUUUGGAAUAAUUCAUUUAUACAUAUCAAAACAAUCAAUAACAAUUUUACACGAUCAAAAAGUAAAUGAAAAAAAAAAUUACCCAAUCAACUUAUUUGAGUUCCAUUAAAUCUUAGAAUAAUUCACUUUACACAUACCAAAACAAUCAGCAACAAUUUUACACUUCAAAAAAUAAAUAAUUAUCCAAUCUUUAGUAAUCAUUCUUACAAAACCUUCAUAACAUUUCAGACUUUCAGAGAUUAUACUUAGUAUUAAAGAUUUUCCAAGUUUGACAAACCUGGAGUAAAAAGAU